AGAAGGUUAGCCAAGGGGUCAAAGGCAUUGUUCUGCUAAAACAAGAUUCAUGGGUUCGAAUCCCAUACCUUCCU
rnacentral:tRNA from 1 species